rnacentral:rRNA from 1 species
CCUACGGGCAGCAGCAGUGGGGAAUAUUGCACAAUGGGGGAAACCCUGAUGCAGCGACGCCGCGUGAGUGAAGAAGUAUUUCGGUAUGUAAAGCUCUAUCAGCAGGGAAGAAGAAAGACGGUACCUGACUAAGAAGCCCCGGCUAACUACGUGCAAGCAGCCGCGGUAAUACGUAGGGGGCAAGCGUUAUCCGGAUUUACUGGGUGUAAAGGGAGCGUAGACGGCUGUGCAAGUCUGAAGUGAAAGCCCACGGCUCAACCCUGGGACUGCUUUUGAAACUGUGGAGCUUGAGUGCUGGAGAGGUAAGUGGAAUUCCUAGUGUAGCGGUGAAAUGCGUAGAUAUUAGGAGGAACACCAGUGGCGAAGGCGGCUUACUGGACAGUAACUGACGUUGAGGCUCGAAAGCGUGGGGAGCAAACAGGAUUAGAUACCCCAGUAGUC